CAUAUUUUUUUUUUGCACCAGCUGCACUAUACCCAAACCACUUUCACUUUACUCACUUACACAUUUUAUCCUCUCUCUAACUAUGGUUCUCCUAACUUAGAGAACCUCUGUUCCUCCGCUACCACCACUCCGGCGGCAGCACCACCAAACUCCGCCGCGCCCACAACCCAACCCUUCCACCUUCAGUCUCGCAAAACUACCCUCCAACCAUCUACAGUCUCGGAUUCUCGAUUGAGUUCUCUCUCUAUCUCAAAAAUUUGUUGCAACGCGCGAACCACCACUUUCUCCGCCUUAUUUCGUCGUCCUCUGUCGUCGUGCAACCACAAAGGGACAUUCAAAAGCCUUCAAAGACAUUGAAUCUACCACCAAGGAGUUAUGCAGAAUUUUUUAAAAAGAUCAAGACCAUCCCAUGAGCAAGGAUCUAGUUCUCAACAUGUUUCAUGUAAUUUAGAAGAGUUACCAUCAGAUCCGGGAAAGCGGCCUAAAAUGUCAACAUACCAUCCAAAUGAUCAAGAGAUAAUACGCCGAGCAUAUCUACAAAAAGGACCAUGCCAACCUAAUCAACAUAAUUUUCCUCAAAGAAAGAUUGGAAAUUCAAUGAGAAGAUUUUGUCCCUCUUGGUUUAAUGAAUUUGGUAAUUGGUUAGAGUAUAGUAUCGAAAAAGACGCCGCAUUCUGUUUGUGUUGUUAUCUAUUUAGACCUGAUUUUGGAAAACAAGCUGGUGGUGAUACAUUUAUAACA